GUACGCAAUCUGUGCGUCUCAGGCCUGUCUUUAGGAGGCACAGGGUACUGUACACAAUCUGUGCGUCUCAGGCCUGUCUUUAGGAGGCACAGGGUACUGUACGCAAUCUGUGCGUCUCAGGCCUGUCUUUAGGAGGCACAGGGUACUGUACACAAUCUGUGUGUCUCAGGCCUGUCUUUAGGAGGCACAGGGUACUGUACACAAUCUGUGCGUCUCAGGCCUGUCUUUAGGAGGCACAGGGUACUGUACACAAUCUGUGUGUCUCAGGCCUGUCUUUAGGAGGCACAGGGUACUGUAUACAAUCUGUGUGUCUCAGGCCUGUCUUUAGGAGGCACAGGGUACUG